rnacentral:rRNA from 1 species
AUGAACGCUGGCGGCGUGCUUAACACAUGCAAGUCGAACGAAGAAGGUUAGAAUGAGAGCUUCGGCAGGAUUUCUUUCCAUCUUAGUGGCGGACGGGUGAGUAACGUGUGGGCAACCUGCCCUGUACUGUGGAAUAAUCAUUGGAAACGAUGACGCAUACCGCAUGUGGUCCUCGGAAGGCAUCUUCUGAGGAAGAAAGGAUUUAUUCGGUACAGGAUGGGCCCGCAUCUGAUUAGCUAGUUGGUGAGAUAACAGCCCACCAAGGCGACGAUCAGUAGCCGACCUGAGAGGGUGAUCGGCCACAUUGGGACUGAGACACGGCCCAAACUCCUACGGGAGGCAGCAGUGGGGAAUAUUGCACAAUGGGCGAAAGCCUGAUGCAGCAACGCCGCGUGAAGGAUGAAGGGUUUCGGCUCGUAAACUUCUAUCAAUAGGGAAGAAACAAAUGACGGUACCUAAAUAAGAAGCCCCGGCUAACUACGUGCCAGCAGCCGCGGUAAUACGUAGGGGGCAAGCGUUAUCCGGAAUUACUGGGUGUAAAGGGAGCGUAGGCGGCAUGGUAAGCCAGAUGUGAAAGCCUUGGGCUUAACCCGAGGAUUGCAUUUGGAACUAUCAAGCUAGAGUACAGGAGAGGAAAGCGGAAUUCCUAGUGUAGCGGUGAAAUGCGUAGAUAUUAGGAAGAACACCAGUGGCGAAGGCGGCUUUCUGGACUGAAACUGACGCUGAGGCUCGAAAGCGUGGGGAGCAAACAGGAUUAGAUACCCUGGUAGUCCACGCCGUAAACGAUGAAUGCUAGGUGUUGGGGAGCAAAGCUCUUCGGUGCCGCCGCAAACGCAUUAAGCAUUCCACCUGGGGAGUACGUUCGCAAGAAUGAAACUCAAAGGAAUUGACGGGGGCCCGCACAAGCGGUGGAGCAUGUGGUUUAAUUCGAAGCAACGCGAAGAACCUUACCAAGGCUUGACAUCCCGAUGACCGUCCUAGAGAUAGGACUUCUCUUCGGAGCAUCGGUGACAGGUGGUGCAUGGUUGUCGUCAGCUCGUGUCGUGAGAUGUUGGGUUAAGUCCCGCAACGAGCGCAACCCUUAUCUUCAGUAGCCAUCAUUCAGUUGGGCACUCUGGAGAGACUGCCGUGGAUAACACGGAGGAAGGUGGGGAUGACGUCAAAUCAUCAUGCCCCUUAUGUCUUGGGCUACACACGUGCUACAAUGGCUGGUAACAAAGUGACGCGAGACGGCGACGUUAAGCAAAUCACAAAAACCCAGUCCCAGUUCGGAUUGUAGUCUGCAACUCGACUACAUGAAGCUGGAAUCGCUAGUAAUCGCGAAUCAGCAUGUCGCGGUGAAUACGUUCCCGGGCCUUGUACACACCGCCCGUCACACCAUGGGAGUUGGAAGCACCCGAAGUCGGUGACCUAACCGUAAGGAAGGAGCCGCCGAAGGUGAAGCCAGUGACUGGGGUG